rnacentral:lncRNA from 1 species
GGCGAUUCUUCCUUUCUUGUUGUCUCUCGCUGCAUUUCCUGCCAGUUCUAGAAUUUCAGCUGCUAGAUACUCUAUGACUGCUGCCAUGUAAACCGGUGCUCCAACACCUAUCCGGUACUUGUAUGUUCCUUUCUUUAGGUAGCGCAUCAUCCUCCCCACAGGGAAAAUAACACCUGCCCUGCUGGAGCGUGACAGCUUGGACAUUUUCUUCUUCCCACUGCGGCCUGACAUCUUGCAGCUUUGUGCUUUUCAGUUUGCUAGCGAUUCUUAUUCCCUUGCUCCAAGCUGACAGCUGCCGCUCCCGCCGCCUCCUCUCGGCGUGCCGCGCUCCGUCUCUCGCCGCCCCCCGGCCUCCGCUCGCUCCGCCUCAGCCGCCGCUCCCCGCCCGUGCCGUACGUUGGGAUGGCGAUGGCGGCGGCUCCUCUCGAGGGGGGUGGCAGGGGUUUCCUCCCGCGCCGCAUACCGCCUCUAGGAGGAGUCAGUCCCCGGCCCCGCUGCAGCCCCCCUCUCGCCGCCGCCCUCCCCGGGCCCCAGGGCCGCCGCCGCCUCCUCCCCCGCGUCCCCCGCCGGGCUGCGGGCAGCGGGCCCGUCCGGAGCUCCGGCCGCCUCCCGAACAAAGGGACCCGGCGCUCUUUGUGUCGCGGGAGCGCCUCGGGUGCGGGCGUGCGGCACGGCCGCGACCACCGCCGGGCUGCCGGCUGAAUGAAAGCGCGGGGCCCGCUCUUAUUUCUCCCCGCCGUUGUGCGGAUGGGAGACCUUUGCGCUACGCCCUGAGCGCUUGCGUAGCGAGUCUGACGGCUGUGCCGAAGCGAUCGGACGUGAAAACGGGCGCCUUAACGCACCUCCACAGCUGAUCUCGGGGAGAGCCUUGCGUAUAACGAGGUGCUGGUGUCAUUCGUGCGCAAACACCGCACGCUGGCUUCUCCUGGGUGAUACUGGGGGCUGCAGGGAAAGCACAGCGCUGAGCAGGUGGCUCCAGCGCGGCCAUAGAGGCACCCGUGCAUCCAGCAGUCUGGGUGCGGAGAGGUGGCUCUCGCCCUCCGUUACAGGGGGCCACGCUCCCCAGGCAGCCCUAGGAGCAGCAAGGCAAAAGGCCAACUACAGCAAAGACCCGAGCCCCG